CCUACGGGAGGCAGCAGUGGGGGAUAUUGCACAAUGGGGGGAACCCUGAUGCAGCGACGCCGCGUGGGUGAAGGAGUGCUUCGGCAUGUAAAGCCCUAUCGGCAGGGAAGAAGCAAGACGGUACCUGACUAAGAAGCCCCGGCUAACUACGUGCCAGCAGCCGCGGUAAUACGUAGGGGGCGAGCGUUAUCCGGAUUCACUGGGUGUAAAGGGAGCGUAGACGGCCAUGCAAGCCAGGGGUGAAAGCCCGGGGCACAACCCCGGGACUGCCCUUGGAACUGUGCGGCUAGAGUGCGGGAGGGGCAGGCGGAAUUACUGGUGUAGCGGUGAAAUGCGUAGAUAUCAGGAGGAACACCGGCGGCGAAGGCGGCCUGCUGGACCGCGACUGGCGUUGAGGCUCGAAAGCGUGGGGAGCGAACAGGAUUAGAUACCCGAGUAGUC
rnacentral:rRNA from 1 species